UGUUUUCAAUAAAAGCAUCAUUCACUAGUUUCUAAACAGACCAGGGUUAGAGUCUACUGGAGUUCUUGAAAUCUCAGAAUAAUAGGAUAUUUAUAGAAGCAUAGAGCCAAAACACGGUUGUCCACCCCAAACCCUGCUAAUCAAUGCAAGCAAUCCACUGUCUCUGAUCUUGACAAAUUGGCUCUGGAAAAUAGCCCUUGUCAGCAAUGUUACCUUUUAACAGGAUGGGUGAUACAGACUUCUUGAAUCUCUUACAGAAAUUUGGCCCACAGCCCAUAGUACAAAUUGACAAUCUUCUAGCAGUUUCUAACUAUAAAGUGG